AUUGAACGCUGGCGGCAUGCUUUACACAUGCAAGUCGAACGGUAACAGGCCUUCGGGUGCUGACGAGUGGCGAACGGGUGAGUAAUGCAUCGGAACGUACCCAGAGGUGGGGGAUAACGCAGCGAAAGCUGUGCUAAUACUGCAUGUGAUCUGAGGAUGAAAGCGGGGGACCGAGCAGCAAUGUUUGGCCUCGCGCCUUUGGAGCGGCCGAUGUCGGAUUAGCUAGUUGGUGGGGUAAAGGCCUACCAAGGCGACGAUCCGUAGCUGGUCUGAGAGGACGACCAGCCACACUGGGACUGAGACACGGCCCAGACUCCUACGGGAGGCAGCAGUGGGGAAUUUUGGACAAUGGGCGCAAGCCUGAUCCAGCAAUGCCGCGUGCGGGAAGAAGGCCUUCGGGUUGUAAACCGCUUUUGGCAGGAACGAAACGGUGUCCGCUAAUACCGGGCGAUAAUGACGGUACCUGCAGAAUAAGCACCGGCUAACUACGUG
rnacentral:rRNA from 1 species